rnacentral:misc_RNA from 1 species
GAUGAAGAACGUAGCGAAAUGCGAUAAGUAAUGUGAAUUGCAGAAUUCAGUGAAUCAUCGAAUCUUUGAACGCACAUUGCGCCCGCCAGCACUCUGGCGGGCAUGCCUGUCCGAGCGUCAUUUCAACCCUCGAGCACCGCUCGGCGUUGGGGGAGCGGCCCGCGCGCCGCCCCCCGAAAUGCAGUGGCGACCUCGCCGCGUUCCUCCCCUGCGCAGUAGCUCUCAAGAGAACCUCGCAUCGGCGGCGCGGCGGCGGUCACGCCGUGAAACACCCCCCUCAAGAGUUGACCUCGGAUCAGGUAGGGAUACCCGCUGAACUUAAGCAUAUCAAUAAGCGGAGGA